GACCUGGUAGCACAGUGGUUAGUGCGUCUGCUGAAAAUGCAUAUCUUUGGAAGGCCUUUGCGUAGAAGGCCUCGGUUCGAAUCCGGGCUGGGUCG